UACGGAGGGUGCGAGCGUUGUCCGGAAUCACUGGGCGUAAAGGGCGCGUAGGCGGCGCGGGAAGUCAUCGGUGAAAGUUCAGGGCUCAACUCUGAAUCGGCCGGUGAUACUCUCGUGCUCGAGCACUGUAGAGGCAGGUGGAAUUCCGGGUGUAGCGGUGGAAUGCGUAGAGAUCCGGAAGAACACCGGUGGCGAAGGCGGCCUGC
rnacentral:rRNA from 1 species